AUUGCACGCUGGCGGCAGGCCUAACACAUGCCAGUCGAGCGAGCGGCGGACGGGUGAGUAAUGUAUGGGGACUGCCCGAUAGAGGGGGAUAACUACUGGAAACGGUAGCUAAUACCGCAUACUAUCGGAUAACCCAUAUGGGAUUAGCUAGUUGGUGAGGUAAUGGCUCACCAAGGCGACGAUCCCUAGCUGGUCUGAGAGGAUGAUCAGCCACAACGGGACUGAGACACGGCCCAGACUCACAGGGAGGCAGCAGUGGGUAAUAUGGGUCAAUGGGCGCAAGCCUGGUGCAGCCAUGCCGCGUGUAGGUUGUGGGCCUUGGUUGUGUAAAGUUUUUUCAGUGGGGUUGCGUUACCGACAGAAGAAGCACCGGCUUACUCCGUGCCAGCAGCCGCGGUAAUAC
rnacentral:rRNA from 1 species